rnacentral:tRNA from 1 species
UAUGUUUUGGUGUUUGGGCACAUUAAAUUUUGAUUUUAAAGGAGGUAGUUUGAUUCUACUAAAUGUAU